rnacentral:rRNA from 1 species
UACGGAGGGUGCAAGCGUUAUCCGGAUUUACUGGGUUUAAAGGGUGCGUAGGUGGGCCUGUAAGUCAGUGGUGAAAUCUUCAAGCUUAACUUGGAAACUGCCAUUGAUACUAUAGGUCUUGAAUUAUCUGGAGGUAAGCGGAAUAUGUCAUGUAGCGGUGAAAUGCUUAGAGAUGACAUAGAACACCUAUUGCGAAGGCAGCUUACUACGGAUUGAUUGACACUGAGGCACGAAAGCGUGGGGAUCAAACAGG